rnacentral:lncRNA from 1 species
UAUGCCUUUGAAAUCACUAAGUCAUUUCAGUUUUUAUUCCAGGGUCAAAGCACUGACAUCUGCAUUAUUUAGAAGCGGCUUUCAAAACUUUUUUUGCCAUAACUCACAGUAAAAAAAAAUACAUUUUAUAUUGCAACUCAAGUCUAUAAAUUCUUUCAUUCCUUCAACAUAUUGAACACCUACUAUAUGCCAAAUAUAUUUUAUGUGGAAUACAGUAGUGAACGAAGUAAAAGAGGAAGAAAGGAAAGGAGGAAGAGAAAGAAAUAAACAAAAAUUCUUGCUCUCUAAGACUUUACAUACUAGUGGAACAGACAAUAGACAAAAUAAGUAAGCCAGAAUACAAAGUAAAAUAUAGGAACACACAGAAACAGAAUAUUCAUGAGGCAAAACCACCUAUUUCUAUAUGCAGUACACUCAGAUGUUUUUGAUUUUUUCGGAAAAAAUGCUGGUCAAUCCUGUUAAACCAUUAAGUUGGCUUCUCAACUCAGUAAUGGGUUGAGGCUUUUGCACUUUGAAAAACACUAGUCUAGACAAUUUCUGACAUGGGCAGAGCAUGUGCUUGUUCUCACCUUAUGGAGGGAGGAACAUACAAAGAUAUUAACUGAGUUCCUCAAAUUCACCCAUGAUCUGAGGGAAGCAAUGCUGACCUCCACCUGAGGGCUUCCCAGUCCACUGCUGCCCUUUCCCUCACCCUCUGCAGUGCCUGCUCUUCUCCUCUCAUUCUGAAACCUUGCUCUGCACGUGGAGCAGCUCUUCCUUCCCUUGUCAGGUAAAAAUCACAUGAAUACUUCUAAGCCUAGCCAGACCGCACUGCGUUCCAGGAUGCCUCUCUCAGGCCACUACUGCAUUCUGGCUCGCUUGAUUGAUUGAUUUAGAGACAGGGUCUCACUCUGUUGCCAAGUUGUGCAAUCAUGGCCCACUGCAGCCUCAACCUCCCAGGCUCAAGCAAUCCUCCCACCUCAGCCUCCCGAGUGGCUGGGACUCUAUGCAUGCACCAGCACACCUAGCCAAUCUUUUUUUUUUUUUUUUAAUUUUUUAGUAGAGACAGGGGUCUCACUAUGUUGCCUAGGCUGUGGCUUGCUUUAUAACUAUUGGUGUACCAGAAUAGGAUCCUCUGCACGGUGACCUCCUAAAAGAGCAGGUACCAGUCACCUUUGUGUCCCCCAAAGCACAGUACUUUAUCUGUAGGUAUUAAUAAAUACAUAGGAAAUUGAAUUGAAUUUGUAACUCAAAGCAGAGGGGUGGAGAGAAGUGCUUCCUAGCCAGGAAUACAGGAUUUAGGCCAUAUCUAUUUAAAAGAAGACUAACAAACAGACUAGAAACGAUAACACUGGUAAAAAGAUCUCUUUACCUGAGCUACAAAAGUCAUACAUUAGGUAGAGGCUUCAAUAGUGUAGAAAAUAUACUAAUGUGUUAUCUCCUUAGAGACAGAUUUAGAACCAUGUCAGUUAUGUUGCAGAUGACAGAGAACAGAAACCUAGUGAAAUCAACUCAAGACAAUGAGGGCUACCAUAAGGAGGCCCAAGGAGUAGUUGGAUGGACCUGAGGAAGGACAGGAGCCAGAGGCCCCCUGAGGAGCUCUGCGCCGCAGAAGUAAGGCUAUCCUCGCUGCAAUGGUGACCAUUACAAUGGGGACAGUUGCCACCUCAUCAAAAUGAAGGAAAUCAGUUCAAAUUCUAAAAAAAACCUACAUGGCACAGCCAAUUCUAGAAUUGUCCACUCUUGCUUCACUUGGUUUGAGUAGGAUGGGGCUGUGUGUUUGAAAACAUCUAAGGAAGAAAGGGGGGAACAAACUCUCUGAAAAGAAAGUAGAACUUUCACUAAAUAUUGACCCAAACUGGAAUUUUCAGUUUUACGCUACCACCAGAGAGGAUGGGACUCAAGGCCAAGAUAAGGUCAGUUACAAAAAGUUAUAUAAAAUACUGUAUCUGUGAUACAGUGUAAAAUAUCAUUUCAAUCCUAUUAAAAGUUAAAAAAAAUGUAGAUUUUAGCUAAAUGACCUCUAAGUUUCAGGGAUCUACAAACCCAUGCGUGUAUAAAUAUAUCACGAAAAUCUGUACAAGAUAUUUCAUAGAAUUCUCUAUCUCAUGGUUUUCAGACUUUAUUUUGAAUCAGAUUCUAAUUCUGUAGGACUAGGGUAGGGUAGUGGGACUGCAUACUUAAAUAAGCACCCCAGAUACUGCUAAAGAUGGGUCAUGUUGAGAGACUUUCUUAACCUAAUCCCUUCCUACUUAAUUAAAAAGGAGCUCGACUUGCAUAAGUUUUCUUUUUCUUUUUUUCUUUGAGACAAAGACUCACUGUCACCCAGGCUGGAGUGCAG